AACGCGAAGAACCUUACCUGGGCUUGAACUACCGAAAGUAAAAUUCCGGAAACGGAAGAUGACCUGUAAAAUCAGGGAUCGGCAGAGGUGCUGCAUGGUUGUCGUCAGCUCGUGUCGUGAGAUGUUGGGUUAAGUCCCGCAACGAGCGCAACCCUUGUCCUGUGUUGCCAUCAUUCAGUUGGGAACUCGCAGGAGACCGCCAGGGAUAACCUGGAGGAAGGUGGGGAUGACGUCAAGUCCUCAUGGCCUUUAUGUCCAGGGCUACACACGUGCUACAAUGGACGGUACAAAGGGCUGCCAACCCGCAAGGGGGAGCCAAUCCCAAAAAACCGUUCUCAGUUCGGAUUGCAGGCUGCAACUCGCCUGCAUGAAGCUGGAAUCGCUAGUAAUGGUGGAUCAGAACGCCACCGUGAAUACGUUCCCGGGCCUUGUACACACCGGCUAC
rnacentral:rRNA from 1 species